rnacentral:tRNA from 1 species
AUUUAGGUAGUUUAAAUAAAAAUUUUAACUUGUGGUGUUAAAGAUAUAAAAAAGUAUUUUUAUUCUAAGUU